rnacentral:rRNA from 1 species
UACAGAGGGGGCAAGCGUUGUUCGGAAUUACUGGGCGUAAAGGGCGCGUAGGCGGCCUUCUAAGUCGAACGUGAAAUCCCUGGGCUCAACCCAGGAACUGCGUCCGAUACUGGAAGGCUUGAAUCCGGGAGAGGGAUGCGGAAUUCCAGGUGUAGCGGUGAAAUGCGUAGAUAUCUGGAGGAAUACCGGUGGCGAAGGCGGCAUCCUGGACCGAGAUUGACACUGAUGAGCGAAAGCUAGGGGAGCAAACGGG